rnacentral:rRNA from 1 species
UACGUAGGGUGCGAGCGUUAAUCGGAAUUACUGGGCGUAAAGGGCGCGUAGGCGGUUCGCUAAGUUGGAUGUGAAAACUCUGGGCUCAACCCAGAGCCUGCAUCCAAAACUGGCGGGCUAGAGUUCUGGAGGGGGUAGCGGAAUUCCUGGUGUAGCGGUGAAAUGCGUAGAUAUCAGGAGGAACACCGGUGGCGAAGGCGGCUACCUGGACAGAAACUGACGCUGAGGCGCGAAAGCUAGGGGAGCAAACAGG